UGGGGAAUUUUGGACAAUGGGCGAAAGCCUGAUCCAGCAAUGCCGCGUGUGUGAAGAAGGCCUUCGGGUUGUAAAGCACUUUUGUCCGGAAAGAAAUCCUUGGCUCUAAUACAGUCGGGGGAUGACGGUACCGGAAGAAUAAGCACCGGCUAACUACGUGCCAGCAGCCGCGGUAAUACGUAGGGUGCAAGCGUUAAUCGGAAUUACUGGGCGUAAAGCGUGCGCAGGCGGUUUGCUAAGACCGAUGUGAAAUCCCCGGGCGUCAACCUGGGAACUGCAUUGGUGACUGGCAGGCUAGAGUAUGGCAGAGGGGGGUAGAAUUCCACGUGUAGCAGUGAAAUGCGUAGAGAUGUGGAGGAAUACCGAUGGCGAAGGCAGCCCCCUGGGCCAAUACUGACGCUCAUGCACGAAAGCGUGGGGAGCAAACAGGAUUAGAUACCCUGGUAGUCCACGCCCUAAACGAUGUCAACUAGUUGUUGGGGAUUCAUUUCCUUAGUAACGUAGCUAACGCGUGAAGUUGACCGCCUGGGGAGUACGGUCGCAAGAUUAAAACUCAAAGGAAUUGAC
rnacentral:rRNA from 1 species